CAGUAGCCGCGGGAAUACGUAGGGUGCAAGCGUUAAUCGGAAUUACUGGGCGUAAAGCGUGCGCAGGCGGUUAUAUAAGACAGAUGUGAAAUCCCCGGGCUCAACCUGGGAACUGCAUUUGUGACUGUAUAGCUAGAGUACGGCAGAGGGGGAUGGAAUUCCGCGUGUAGCAGUGAAAUGCGUAGAUAUGCGGAGGAACACCGAUGGCGAAGGCAAUCCCCUGGGCCUGUACUGACGCUCAUGCACGAAAGCGUGGGGAGCAAACAGGAUUAGAUACCCCAGUAGUCCCUGUCUCUUAUAU
rnacentral:rRNA from 1 species